UAGGUCUCUAGACAUUACAGAGAAUCCCGAACAACCCAAACUGCUAAUCUUCGAUACCACUUUUUACUCACGAUCUUGUAUCCACUGACUGUCUCGUUAGAUUAAUCCAAUAAAUUUCAUUCACUCCGCAUACUCAAUCCUAUAGACACCCUUUUAAUUCUUCAUCACAGACGUAACUCAAUUUCACAAAACAGUCAAGAGUAAUCACACCCACUUCAUUAAAAUCCCAAUUCACCAGUACAACACUGACUUCAGCAAUGAUUGCCUCAGUC
rnacentral:lncRNA from 1 species